rnacentral:rRNA from 1 species
UCGAGAAUCAUUCGCAAUGGGCGCAAGCCUGACGAUGCGACGCCGUGUGAGCGAAGAAGGCCUUCGGGUCGUAAAGCUCUUUCGCCUGGGAACAAGAGAAGCCAGCUAAUAUCUGGCUGAUUUGAGGGUACCAGGAAAAGAAGCACCGGCUAACUCCGUGCCAGCAGCUGCGGUAAUACGGAGGGUGCAAGCAUUAAUCGGAUUUAUUGGGCGUAAAGGGCGCGUAGGCGGGGAUGUAAGUCAGAUGUGAAAUCCCGAGGCUCAACCUCGGAACAGCAUUUGAAACUCCAUCUCUUGAGGAUAGGCGGAGAAAACGGAAUUCCACAUGUAGCGGUGAAAUGCGUAGAUAUGUGGAAGAACAUCGGUGGCGAAGGCGGUUUUCUAGCUUAAACCUGACGCUGAGGCGCGAAAGCAAGGGGAUCAAACA